GAUCUGACCCUAGUACGAGAGGACCGGGUUGGACAUACCACUGGUGCACCGGUUGUUCUGCCAAGAGCAUCGCCGGGUAGCUAAGUAUGGAUGUGAUAACCGCUGAAAGCAUAUAAGCGGGAAGCCAACUCCAAGAUGAGUUUUCCCUGAAGGUCCGUUGGAGACUACAACGUUGAUAGGCUAGGGGUGUAAUUACAGUAAUGUAUUUAGCUGACUAGUACUAAUAGACCGUUUGGCUUACUUUCUUUCAU
rnacentral:rRNA from 1 species